AACGAACGCUGGCGGCAUGCCUAACACAUGCAAGUCGAACGAGACCUUCGGGUCUAGUGGCGCACGGGUGCGUAACGCGUGGGAACCUGCCCUUAGGUUCGGAAUAACUCACCGAAAGGGGUGCUAAUACCGGAUAAUGUCUUCGGACCAAAGAUUUAUCGCCUUGGGAUGGGCCCGCGUUGGAUUAGCUAGUUGGUAGGGUAAAAGCCUACCAAGGCGACGAUCCAUAGCUGGUCUGAGAGGAUGAUCAGCCACACUGGGACUGAGACACGGCCCAGACUCCUACGGGAGGCAGCAGUGGGGAAUAUUGGACAAUGGGCGAAAGCCUGAUCCAGCAAUGCCGCGUGAGUGAUGAAGGCCUUAGGGUUGUAAAGCUCUUUUACCCGGGAUGAUAAUGACAGUACCGGGAGAAUAAGCUCCGGCUAACUCCGUG
rnacentral:rRNA from 1 species